GAUGAACGCUGGCUACAGGCUUAACACAUGCCAGUCGAGGGGAAACGACGGGGAAGCUUGCUUCCCCGGGCGUCGACCGGCGCACGGGUGAGUAACGCGUAUCCAACCUGCCUCUGACUGAGGGAUAACCCGUCGAAAGUCGGCCUAAUACCUCAUGGCAUCGUCUGCGGGCAUCCAACGACGAUUAAAGAUUUCAUCGGUCAGAGAUGGGGAUGCGUCUGAUUAGCUUGUUGGCGGGGUAACGGCCCACCAAGGCGACGAUCAGUAGGGGUUCUGAGAGGAAGGUCCCCCACAUUGGAACUGAGACACGGUCCAAACGCCUACGGGAGGCAGCAGUGAGGAAUAUUGGUCAAUGGGCGAGAGCCUGAACCAGCCAAGUAGCGUGCAGGAUGACGGCCCUAUGGGUUGUAAACUGCUUUUAUGCGGGGAUAAAGUGAGGGACGUGUCCUUCAUUGAAGGUACCGAAUGAAUAAGGACCGGCUAAUUCCGUG
rnacentral:rRNA from 1 species